rnacentral:rRNA from 1 species
AAAGAAACCAACAGGGAUUGCCCCAGUAACGGCGAGUGAAGCGGCAAGAGCUCAAAUUUGAAAGCUGGCUCCUUCGGGGUCCGCAUUGUAAUUUGUAGAGGAUGCUUCGGGAGCGGUCCCCAUCUAAGUGCCCUGGAACGGGACGUCAUAGAGGGUGAGAAUCCCGUAUGGGAUGGGGUGUCCGCGCCCGUGUGAAGCUCCUUCGACGAGUCGAGUUGUUUGGGAAUGCAGCUCUAAAUGGGUGGUAAAUUUCAUCUAAAGCUAAAUAUUGGCCGGAGACCGAUAGCGCACAAGUAGAGUGAUCGAAAGAUGAAAAGCACUUUGAAAAGAGAGUUAAAAAGCACGUGAAAUUGUUGAAAGGGAAGCGCUUGCGACCAGACUCGCUCGCGGGGUUCAGCCGGCAUUCGUGCCGGUGUACUUCCCCGCGGGCGGGCCAGCGUCGGUUUGGGCGGUCGGUCAAAGGCCCUCGGAAGGUAACGCCCCUAGGGGCGUCUUAUAGCCGAGGGUGCAAUGCGACCUGCCUAGACCGAGGAACGCGCUUCGGCUCGGACGCUGGCAUAAUGGUCGUAAGCGAC